UCAUUCAAAACAAUUUUGUUAGGUUGUGUUGUGACAGCUACAACGCUCUAAUGGUUGGGUAGACCAGCUGAAGUUGAUAGAGAUCUAAUAGAGACAUUAAUUGAGAACAAGCUACAUUAUACCAUGCAGUAGACAGCCAACAUAGUCAAAAUAUCCAAAUCAGUAAAGUUGUUGGUGAAAAUGAAAACUGUCUUAUAUUUUAC